GAUGAACGCUGGCGGCGUGCCUAAUACAUGCAAGUCGAGCGAACGGACGAGAAGCUUGCUUCUCUGAUGUUAGCGGCGGACGGGUGAGUAACACGUGGAUAACCUACCCAUAAGACUGGGAUAACUUCGGGAAACCGGAGCUAAUACCGGAUAAUAUUUUGAACCGCAUGGUUCAAAAGUGAAAGACGGUCUUACUGUCACUUAUGGAUGGAUCCGCGCUGCAUUAGCUAGUUGGUAAGGUAACGGCUUACCAAGGCAACGAUGCAUAGCCGACCUGAGAGGGUGAUCGGCCACACUGGAACUGAGACACGGUCCAGACUCCUACGGGAGGCAGCAGUAGGGAAUCUUCCGCAAUGGGCGAAAGCCUGACGGAGCAACGCCGCGUGAGUGAUGAAGGUCUUCGGAUCGUAAAACUCUGUUAUUAGGGAAGAACAUAUGUGUAAGUAACUGUGCACAUCUUGACGGUACCUAAUCAGAAAGCCACGGCUAACUACGUGCCAGCAGCCGCGGUAAUACGUAGGUGGCAAGCGUUAUCCGGAAUUAUUGGGCGUAAAGCGCGCGUAGGCGGUUUUUUAAGUCUGAUGUGAAAGCCCACGGCUCAACCGUGGAGGGUCAUUGGAAACUGGAAAACUUGAGUGCAGAAGAGGAAAGUGGAAUUCCAUGUGUAGCGGUGAAAUGCGCAGAGAUAUGGAGGAACACCAGUGGCGAAGGCGACUUUCUGGUCUGUAACUGACGCUGAUGUGCGAAACCUGGGGGUCACACAAG
rnacentral:rRNA from 1 species